CUCAGAUAAAGCCAAAACCCGGGCAACCGGGUGACGGAAAGCCACAGAUCCGGAGAUAUCCACCACUCCAGGGACGGAGGACAACGUAACGGGACGACGGAUGGACCGGAUGGCUGGGCCGCCUGG
rnacentral:ncRNA from 1 species